AUAACAGUGUGCUCAGUUUAAACUGUGAAACAAAGACAAGAACAGCUGCCAUCAUUUUAAGAUAACUGAAGUUAGAAAUGUGAUAAUGGUUGUUUUAAAAUCUUUACCUCUGCAAUUACCUAUAAGGCCUUUUAAGAUCCUGUAAUGAUCUGCCUACCCACACCACUUCUUAAACCUCUCUGGCCUUGUUUUUUAUUACUCUUUCUCUUAGUCACCUUGCUCUAUCCAUACUGACCAUCCUCUUUUUGUUUGUGCUGUCAGCAGCAUCUUCCAUGAAUGUCCCUUAGAUGUCCUCAUGUUUUAGUUUCCUCUUCACAAGCACUUUUCUGCUCUUCUCUGCUUUAUUUUUCACUUUUCAACAUU
rnacentral:lncRNA from 1 species